rnacentral:rRNA from 1 species
GACGAACGCUGGCGGCGUACCUAAUACAUGCAAGUCGAGCGGAUCAUCCCUUCGGGGAUGGUUAGCGGCGGACGGGUGAGUAACACGUAGGCAACCUGCCUGUAAGACCGGGAUAACUACCGGAAACGGUAGCUAAGACCGGAUAAUUGGUUCCUCCGCAUGGGGGGAUCAUGAAACGCGGCUUUCGGGCUGCGGCCUACGGAUGGGCCUGCGGCGCAUUAGCUAGUUGGUGGGGUAACGGCCUACCAAGGCGACGAUGCGUAGCCGACCUGAGAGGGUGAACGGCACACUGGGACUGAGACACGGCCCAGACGCCUACGGGAGGCAGCAGUAGGGUAUCUUCCGCAAUGGACGCAAGUCUGACGGAGCAACGCCGCGUGAGUGAGGAAGGUCUUCGGAUCGUAAAGCUCUGUUGCCCUAGAAGAAAGUCUUCGGGAGUCACUGCCCGGAGGUUGACGGUAUAGGAGAAGAAAGCCCCGGCUAACUACGUGCCAGCCGCCGCUGUAAAAC